CCCUUAGAUGUUCUGGGCCGCACGCGCGCUACACUGACGAAUGCAACGAGCUUAUAACCUUGGCCGAAAGGUCUGGGUAAUCUCCAAAUUUCGUCGUGAUGGGGAUAGAUUAUUGCAAUUAUUAAUCUUCAACAAGGAAUGCCUAGUAAGCGCAAGUCAUCAGCUUGCGUUGAUUACGUCCCUGCCCUUUGUACACACCGCCCGUCGCUCCUACCGAUUGAAUGGUCCGGUGAAGCGUUCGGACCGUGGCCUUUGGACGGUUCGCCGUCUGUUGGCUGCGGGAAGUUCGUUAAACCUUAUCAUUUAGAGGAAGGAGAAGUCGUAACA
rnacentral:rRNA from 1 species